rnacentral:rRNA from 1 species
AGUGAACGCUGGCGGUAGGCCUAACACAUGCAAGUCGAACGGCAGCACAGUAAGAGCUUGCUCUUACGGGUGGCGAGUGGCGGACGGGUGAGGAAUACAUCGGAAUCUACUUUUUCGUGGGGGAUAACGUAGGGAAACUUACGCUAAUACCGCAUACGACCUACGGGUUAAAGCAGGGGAUCUUCGGACCUUGCGCGAUUGAAUGAGCCGAUGUCGGAUUAGCUAGUUGGCGGGGUAAAGGCCCACCAAGGCGACGAUCCGUAGCUGGUCUGAGAGGAUGAUCAGCCACACUGGAACUGAGACACGGUCCAGACUCCUACGGGAGGCAGCAGUGGGGAAUAUUGGACAAUGGGCGAAAGCCUGAUCCAGCCAUGCCGCGUGGGUGAAGAAGGCCUUCGGGUUGUAAAGCCCUUUUGUUGGGAAAGAAAAGCAGCAGGUUAAUACGCCGCUGUUCUGACGGUACCCAAAGAAUAAGCACCGGCUAACUUCGUG